rnacentral:ncRNA from 12 species
GAUUAUUGAGGAUAGGAUAGGCAUCUAUCGCACCCAACUUCAGGGUAUAAAGAGAUGUGGGAUACGCCUCCCCACCAAUAAUC